GCUUGGAUGAAAUUUGAGAAAAGGCAAGACACGCAUUUGAGCAAACAAAAACAACAACAGUAAUUUGGCAUAACAAGCAGAUUACAAUCUAUGUAAACAAUUUCAGGAUAAACUAAUGAAAAUUGCAGGUCCCUAAAGAAUGAAAAAUUCAAAUUCAAGAAAUGAUGUCAGAUGGGGGAGCCGGGUAGGUAGAAGGGGUCCUGAUCCCGAAAUCCCGGGCUAAAAACACGAAAUCCCGAGUUUAAAUAAAUCUAAAUCCCGCUAUUCCGAAGUUCGAAAAAAGAAUUCCCCUAUCCUGAAAUCCCGAGCUUAAAAAAAAAUAUCCUGGUGCAAUUCCCCCUUUUUCCAAUGAUUAAAAAAUGCAGGACAACAUUUUUAAUUGUAACCCCAUCCCAUAAAAUCAAAGGGUAUCAUCCUUAGAAUUUUCACUUUUUGUACUUUAUUUUAUUUAAUGUAAGACCUAGGCAUUGGCAAGUAAAAAACGAAAACAGUUAUGUUCCUUUCUGUUUCCCUACUUU
rnacentral:lncRNA from 1 species